GAUUGAACGCUGGCGGCAUGCCUUACACAUGCAAGUCGAACGGCAGCGGGGACUUCGGUCCGCCGGCGAGUGGCGAACGGGUGAGUAAAGUAUCGGAACGUACCUUUCAGUGGGGGAUAACGUAGCGAAAGUUACGCUAAUACCGCAUAUUCUGUGAGCAGGAAAGCAGGGGAUCGCAAGACCUUGCGCUGAUUGAGCGGCCGAUAUCAGAUUAGCUAGUUGGUGGGGUAAAGGCCUACCAAGGCGACGAUCUGUAGCGGGUCUGAGAGGAUGAUCCGCCACACUGGAACUGAGACACGGUCCAGACUCCUACGGGAGGCAGCAGUGGGGAAUUUUGGACAAUGGGGGCAACCCUGAUCCAGCCAUGCCGCGUGAGUGAAGAAGGCCUUCGGGUUGUAAAGCUCUUUCGGCCGGGAAGAAAUCGCACAGGCUAAUACCCUGUGUGGAUGACGGUACCGGAAUAAGAAGCACCGGCUAACUACGU
rnacentral:rRNA from 1 species